rnacentral:rRNA from 1 species
UACGUAGGGUGCAAGCGUUAAUCGGAAUUACUGGGCGUAAAGCGCACGUAGGUGGCUUUGCAAGUCGAUUGUGAAAUCCCCGGGCUUAACCUGGGAACUGCAGUCGAGACUGCUCUGCUUGAGUAUGGGAGAGGGAGGUGGAAUUUCCGGUGUAGCGGUGAAAUGCGUAGAUAUCGGAAGGAACAUCAGUGGCGAAGGCGACCUCCUGGACCAAUACUGACACUCAAGUGCGAAAGCGUGGGGAGCAAACAGG